UACGUAGGGCGCAAGCGUUGUCCGGAAUUAUUGGGCGUAAAGAGCUCGUAGGCGGUUUGUCGCGUCUGCUGUGAAAUCCUCAGGCUCAACCUGGGGCUUGCAGUGGGUACGGGCAGACUAGAGUGCGGUAGGGGUGACUGGAAUUCCUGGUGUAGCGGUGGAAUGCGCAGAUAUCAGGAGGAACACCGAUGGCGAAGGCAGGUCACUGG
rnacentral:rRNA from 1 species